UACUUGUGUUAGCCCUGAUAUUGAACCA
rnacentral:sRNA from 1 species